CUGGCAGUCAUGAUUCCCACUCAGACGUGUCUUUGAAGUGAAAAGAAACUAUGGAGCUGAGGUCCUCAUUGGAGCAUCUGUCCCUGUGGUUCACAGAGCCUCACACUGGCGUUUAGAACAGAGAAAACACAUCAACACUCUACACUGAACUUGGAUAUAGUUGCUAUAAAAAAAAACAUUUCUCUCAAAGUUUAAAAAGGGUGACAACAUCAGUGCCAAGAAACAUCAAAGGCGUUGUUUAGAGCUUUCAGGGACUGUGCCAAGCUGCCUUCUAAACACCACUUACCAUUCUCACGUGAUG
rnacentral:lncRNA from 1 species